AUACAAAACAACUGUGUGAAGCCACUAGAGCAUGACCAUAAUUAUGCAGAAGCCGGAGGGGAGUUGACACAUGGAAGAAGAAAAGGACCAUGGGCUAGUGCCCAAACAUCACUUGAAGCACUCAGGAAGCUGACAGGUGGAAGGUGAUGGCCCGAGGAGUGCAGUAUCAGUUCGGGAUUCAGCCCAAGCCUGUGGCUUGCUGAGCUAGUCUGUGAUUCCAGUGUUGACCCCUGGCAAGGACCUGAGAUCCAGCCGGCAGGAGCAGCUAGUGGCUGCCUCCAUGCUGAGGAACUUUUUAAAAAGCUGAAUGUAAGCUUCGAUUUUAAUAGGUGAAAGUGAAAAUGACAUGUGACUUCCAGAAAAUUCUCAAAGAUUCAAAAGAAUUGUUCUUUGUCAUGAGUUGAAUAGCAUUCUUCAAACAAAUGAAUGCUUUUUCUCAUAUUCAGAGUUGCCUGAAUUAGGGGAAAUGGAUAUAAAUUGUUGCAAGAGAGAAAUUUGGUUAGCUAUAAAUUAAAAUAAUUUGUUUUUUUACUCAUUACUCUCUUCUUGAC